GCUCAGAUUGAACGCUGGCGGCAGGCCUAACACAUGCAAGUCGAGCGGUAGAGAGGUGCUUGCACCUCUUGAGAGCGGCGGACGGGUGAGUAAUGCCUAGGAAUCUGCCUGGUAGUGGGGGAUAACGUCCGGAAACGGACGCUAAUACCGCAUACGUCCUACGGGAGAAAGCAGGGGACCUUCGGGCCUUGCGCUAUCAGAUGAGCCUAGGUCGGAUUAGCUAGUUGGUGAGGUAAAGGCUCACCAAGGCGACGAUCCGUAACUGGUCUGAGAGGAUGAUCAGUCACACUGGAACUGAGACACGGUCCAGACUCCUACGGGAGGCAGCAGUGGGGAAUAUUGGACAAUGGGCGAAAGCCUGAUCCAGCCAUGCCGCGUGUGUGAAGAAGGUCUUCGGAUUGUAAAGCACUUUAAGUUGGGAGGAAGGGUCGUUACCUAAUACGUGACGAUUUUGACGUUACCGACAGAAUAAGCACCGGCUAACUCUGUGCCAGCAGCCGCGGUAAUACAGAGGGUGCAAGCGUUAAUCGGAAUUACUGGGCGUAAAGCGCGCGUAGGUGGUUUGUUAAGUUGAAUGUGAAAUCCCCGGGCUCAACCUGGGAACUGCAUCCAAAACUGGCAAGCUAGAGUAGGGCAGAGGGUGGUGGAAUUUCCUGUGUAGCGGUGAAAUGCGUAGAUAUAGGAAGGAACACCAGUGGCGAAGGCGACCACCUGGGCUCAUACUGACACUGAGGUGCGAAAGCGUGGGGAGCAAACAGGAUUAGAUACCCUGGUAGUCCACGCCGUAAACGAUGUCAACUAGCCGUUGGAAUCCUUGAGAUUUUAGUGGCGCAGCUAACGCAUUAAGUGACCCGCCC
rnacentral:rRNA from 1 species